rnacentral:ribozyme from 1 species
GAAGACAACUCAGAUAAAACAGGUGCCUAUACCUGCUAGUACUACUACUUUUGCUACCAUUGCUGCUAUUAACGUUGAUGCUGCUACAACGAAUGUUGCCUCGACAGACGUCACCACUUUUCUGAAGAAGACAAAAACAAUGAAGAUCAAGAAUUUGCCUACACCUGC